GGGAGAGGGGUGCAAAAGAAGCAUGAGAGGAAUGGGAACAAAGGUUUCCUGGAGGACAAGCUCCUCAAGCUGCGAUUUUAAGGAUGAGGAGGCAAGACUUCAUCACAAGAUAAGAGUGGAAAAGUUUUGAAAUACAAACAGUUCAGUCUAAUAUGAGAUCCCUUGUGUCUUGCAGUUGUAGAAACAGUUUCCACCUCACUUCAAAUGAAGGGCCCGACAAGGUGAUUCUUUUUUAAAAAUAUGAGAAAUUAAUAAGAAGCAAAAGAAACAUUACAGCAAAAGAAACAUAUAUGAAUGGAGAAAAGCCAAAGAAAAGAAAUUGUGGGCCGAGUGGGUCACAGCUUUCAACUACAAAAGCGGAAAAACCCAUUAAAU
rnacentral:lncRNA from 1 species